GCCUACGGGGCGCAGCAGUAGGGAAUUUUCGUCAAUGGGCGCAAGCCUGAACGAGCAAUGCCGCGUGAACGAGGAAGGUCUUCGGAUCGUAAAGUUCUGUUGAAGGGGAAAAAGAGCGGAGAGAGGAAAUGGUCUCCGAUUGAUAUUACCCUUCGAGGAAGUCACGGCUAACUACGUGCCAGCAGCCGCGGUAAUACGUAGGUGGCGAGCGUUAUCCGGAAUGAUUGGGCGUAAAGCGAGUGCAGGCGGGUCCAUAAGUCUUGUGUGAAAGCCUUCGGGCCAACCG
rnacentral:rRNA from 1 species